rnacentral:lncRNA from 1 species
UUUAUCACAGCAACAGAAAGUAAUUGACACAAACGCCCAUAAAGAUGAAAAGGGUCUUGUGUGGAGCAGUGCUGUCUGUUCAUCCCUUCAUCAGAGUCAGCUGGAUUUUGCAAGGGAGGAAAGGAUCUGCAUCUUCAAACCCCCCAGCCUGAGUUAGGCUCCCAGGACCCCACCCUCCUUCUUUCACACUUGCACGUGCAGGACCAGAGCCUGUGGGCCCUGGUGUACAUCUCCCGCCGAUGCAGAAUCUGCAAAUAGAUGCCUCCUUCCACAACAUACCUCUCCACAAAGCCAACCCACUGAAACGGAGCUCAUUAUCUCCAGACAUCGCUGCGGCCAAAGGGCAGGCUAUGACGCAGAGCAUCAUGGGAUGGCAGCCUUCGGUGGACAAUGACUUCGUGGUGGUCAGCAAGCCAAGAAGAGAUGAGCUAAAGACUCGGGUUGCCAGAAGAACGCAAGUCAGCCUCAAAGACUGAGAAGGGAGAGUCACUACAUGGGCACCGGCACAGACACUCCUGGCCCCUUCGAGGUGAGUGCUGCUUCGCUGUGGAGCCUUGAAUGACUGUGGAGAAGAGAGUACCUAUCCGCACGAGUUGCCCCCCAACCUGUCUCAAAAUGCCGGGUCGAAGUCUGUCUCAAGUGACAGCUGUCCCACCAACGUAUUGUUCCCUGUCUUCAGAUAUUUGGAGUCUAAGAAGUACAGAGGCAGCGCAGAUUUUUAUCCUUGUGCAGAUUCUUAAAAAUGAAUACAAGGUUACAUAACCCAAGAUGCACAGAGAAAUGUGCAGUGUGAUGGAGUUUCCAGGACACAGGCUGCAGACCAGUGCAUGGCCAACAUCAGCUGGCUUGGAGGGAGGUGCUCUGGAGUCUCCUGCAGUUCCUGACAGAAGUGGGCUGUUUCCACGGUUUAGAACCGCUCACAAUGUGAGCUACUUUUUUUUUUACUCUUUUCAAGACAGAAGCUUGGGUCAAAGUCUUAUUCAUCUGUGGCAGAGGGUAAUAAAAACGGGAAGUCCGGG